GUCUACAGCCAUACCGCCUGAAUGCACUUAUUUAGGAAGCUAAGCAGGGUCAGGCCCAGUAGUACUUGGAAAAAAGACAAGAGAGUAAAUAAAUCGUGGUGAAUA
rnacentral:rRNA from 1 species